rnacentral:rRNA from 1 species
CUGGCUCAGGACGAACGCUGGCGGCGUGCCUAACACAUGCAAGUCGAACGGUCUGGUGUUUAACACCAAACGCUACAUGCUAACCGGGGAAUCACAAACAAGCCGCGUCUUAUGAACGAGCGAACCGGAAAAGUAAGAGCGAUUGGUGUUGAACGCCAGGUAGUGGCGAACGGGUGAGUAACGCGUAAACAACCUGCCUCAUAGAUGGGGACAACACCGCGAAAGUGGUGCUAAUACCGAAUGUUUUAACUUUGCUGCA